rnacentral:sRNA from 1 species
AGAUGUGAGGGUGAGCGGCUGGUUAGGCCAUGUCCCCUUCCUCUCCCACUGCACCUGGUGUCCUGUCUGAAGUAGUAUGCUGGGUUGAAGGGAACAACCUUUGGCGAUAGAGGAAGAGUGCUCUUUGGGCAAAGCAGUUCUCAACCUGUUGGCUGUGACCCUUUGGGGGUCGAACAGCGCUUUCACAGGGGUCACCUAAGACCAUUGUAAAACACAGAUAUUUACAUUACGAUUCAC